AAAUACUGAUCCUAUUAGCCCCACCCAUCAAAUACUGAACCUAGUAGCCCCGCCCACCAAAUACUGAGCCUAUUAGCCUCAACCACCAAAUACUGAGCCUUUUAUUCCCACCCACCAAAUACGGAGCCUAUUAGCCCCACCCACCAAAUACUGAGCCUAUUAGCCCCACCCACCAAAUACUGAGCCUAUUAGCACCGCCCAUCACAUAUUGAGCCUAG